rnacentral:misc_RNA from 1 species
UUUAUUCCCAAUAAAUAUAAGCAUGUAAUUAAACUUUAAGCCAUAAUAAAAAUACGAAGGAACAUUACAUAGUAAUAUUACAACGAAUAUGCCUAAGAAGCACCGGAAUUACAAUAUCCGGCGAGCUCAACUGAGGCAAAUGACCAUCUGAUGCCAUGACUUCGAUAACGGACUCACCACCGAGGUGUUGAUGUAAAUAUUCAGACACAGCCACUGGUACAGCUAAAUCCUUGCCGCUUUGCAAGAUGUGACAAGGCACAGUCACCAAAUGUAGAAUUUGCCUCAAGUCACUUUGUAAUAUGCAUUGCGCAACGGCUAGGGCUAUGUCUGGCCUCAUGUU